GCUGUUGUAGCUUAGUGGUAAAGCACUUGCAUGGUAAGCAAGAGAUCGAGGUUUCGAUUACCUCCAACAGCACCA
rnacentral:tRNA from 2 species